rnacentral:rRNA from 1 species
CCACAGCUAGAGUUUGAUCCUGGCUCAGGACGAACGCUGGCGGCGUGCCUAACACAUGCAAGUCGAACGAGGGUUUGGAAAGCUUGCUUUCGAAACCUAGUGGCGGACGGGUGAGUAACGCGUGAGUAACCUGCCUUUCAGAGGGGAAUAACGUUCUGAAAAGAACGCUAAUACCGCAUAACGUACAGUUACCGCAUGGUAGCAGUACCAAAGGAGCAAUCCGCUGAAAGAUGGACUCGCGUCCGAUUAGCUAGUUGGUGGGGUAAAGGCCUACCAAGGCGACGAUCGGUAGCCGGACUGAGAGGUUGAACGGCCACAUUGGGACUGAGACACGGCCCAGACUCCUACGGGAGGCAGCAGUGGGGGAUAUUGCACAAUGGGGGAAACCCUGAUGCAGCAACGCCGCGUGUGGGAAGAAGGUUUUCGGAUUGUAAACCACUGUUCUUGGUGAAGAUAAUGACGGUAACCAAGGAGAAAGCUCCGGCUAACUACGUGCCAGCAGCCGCGGUAA